rnacentral:rRNA from 1 species
UGGGGAAUAUUGGACAAUGGGGGGAACCCUGAUCCAGCCAUGCCGCGUGUGUGAAGAAGGCCUUUUGGUUGUAAAGCACUUUAAGCGAGGAGGAGGCUACCGAGAUUAAUACUCUUGGAUAGUGGACGUUACUCGCAGAAUAAGCACCGGCUAACUCUGUGCCAGCAGCCGCGGUAAUACAGAGGGUGCAAGCGUUAAUCGGAUUUACUGGGCGUAAAGCGCGCGUAGGUGGCAAAUUAAGUCAAAUGUGAAAUCCCCGAGCUUAACUUGGGAAUUGCAUUCGAUACUGGUUGGCUAGAGUAUGGGAGAGGAUGGUAGAAUUCCAGGUGUAGCGGUGAAAAGCGUAGAGAUCUGGAGGAAUACCGAUGGCGAAGGCAGCCAUCUGGCCUAAUACUGACACUGAGGUGCGAAAGCAAGGGGAGCAAACAGG